UACAGAGGGUGCAAGCGUUAAUCGGAAUUACUGGGCGUAAAGCGUGCGUAGGCGGUUACAUAAGUCGGGUGUGAAAGCCCCGGGCUCAACCUGGGAAUUGCAUUCGAGACUGCGUAGCUAGAGUGCGGAAGAGGGAAGCGGAAUUUCCGGUGUAGCGGUGAAAUGCGUAGAUAUCGGAAGGAAUACCAGUUGCGAAAGCAGCUUCCUGGUCCAGGACCGACGUUCAGGCACGAAAGCGUGGGUAGCAAACAGG
rnacentral:rRNA from 1 species